ensembl:lncRNA
AUUCAGGAGGUCACUCGUCCUCUCAGCCUGUGUCCAAAUCCUCCAGUUCAGUCUCGCUUUACAGCAACGGCUCUGAAGGCACCGCCAUCUUCGGCCAAUCAGCUUCACCCUCCACCAAUGACCUCACAGCCUCGCUCCUCACCGCCCUUCAGGCUGAUGGCUUGGAGAACUUUAACCCUUUCCUUCCCAUCAACCUGCUACAGUGAGUUUUUCUUUCAUCCAAGCCCAAUUAUUAACAUUUAAAGAGUGUAUUAUAAAGGAGCCUAAGAAUUAGUGAAGUAAUUAUAAAGUAUUAUGAAGUAAUACCAUUGUGUUGUAACAUCUGCGGAGUAAUUGUUCUGGCAAGUAAUACGUUUACAGUUUUUUUUUUUUUAAUAACUGUAAUAGUCAAUGUCAAUUUGAAAGAAAGGGACCUGAGACAAGGGUUUCACACACACACACACACACACACACACACGCACGGUAAACUCUCUGACAUGCCUGGAUAUUCUCACUCCAGAUCGGCGUCAACUGAGACACACACUCACACACAGGUUACUGAGAGUGUGGGUGAGAAUACAGGUGAGUGUGUGUAAAGCCGUGGCUGUGUGUGUUAUAAACUCAUAAACACAUGCUCCUCUUAAGGCAUCUGAGCAUGGCUUAAUGACACGAGGGUGAUUAACACCUCAACAUAACACAUGCUCAAGCUGAAGGUUUGAUCUAGAGCAGGUACUAGCGGUUCUCUUGUGUCUGUGUGUGCAUGUGUGUGUGGCUGGGCUCCUCUAGGCGGAUGGUACUGGCGCGAUUUCCCACAUUGACAGGUCUUGUCCACAGUCCGGUUCUGCCUCCCGGGCUCAGCCUGACGAGCUCAGCCUCCUGUGAGGGCUUCACUGAGCAGCAGACCAGCUUCCUGGAGCCCUGCGGUCAGACCAGGACCCCUGUGGAACAGCCCCAAAUGUUUGUCCCAGUGCGCUUGCUUGAAAUGGGCUUCUCAAUGAGACACAUCUACAGGGCCAUGGAGGCAGCAGGGGUCACUGGAGAGGUGGACUCACGCACCAUCGAGGUGCUGGCGAGCUGGAUGCUGGAACAUCCCAUCACCGGAGAGGGCUCAUCUGUAGGGGGCGCCACUGAUACGCCCUCAUCUGAAGGGCCAGAGACGGUCCAGUGCCCUGAGUCUCCAGCUCCUCUCACCCUACAGGAGAGCAGAGAACCCAGUGAGAGUCUGUUGGCAGGUUUGGACUUGGUGGAGAGAGAGAACUUCUUAGAUGUUCACCUCACCAGGAACAGACCCCCACCUGCACGGAGGCAGCGGUCCGGAGUAAGUCAGAGAACAUCCUUCAGGAGAGCAGACUCCCCGUCGCCCAGUCCUGUCCCAUCGCUGUACAGACAGGACUUGGGAGUGGCAGAGUGGCCGGAGCGGGCUGAAACGCACCCGUUUGCUGCUGAAGACGACUCGGAGCUGGGCUACAUGGAUGAUCCGUACCAGGAAGAACCGUAUGAGGAGCUGCUCACCCCAGAGUUCAUCACCUCUGAGAGGGACACGCUGUGGAUGGUAGAGGUACUGGAGACGCUAUCUGUCUAUUGUUUUAUCUCUUGUUUUUCUAUCUAUCACUUUAUUCUACCUACAGUUCUGUCAUUUGCUCUAUCUGUCGUUCUAUCGUUCUAUCUAACGUUCUAUCUAACGUUCUAUCAUUCUAUGUAUCUAUCUAUUGUUCUGUCUGUCUACAUGUCGUUCUAUCUGCCUUUUGUUCAGUUGUUGUAUCUAUCAUUCUGUCAUUCCCUCUAUUUAUCAUUCUGUUGUCAUCGCGUUCUGUCAUUUGUUCUUUUUUCUCUCGUUCUUUCAUUUGUUCUGUUUUUCUCUCGUUCUUUCAUUCGUUCUAUUUUUCUCUCGUUCUUUUAUUCGUUCUAUUUUUCUCUCGUUCUUUCAUUUGUUGUUUUUUUUACGUAUCAUUCUGUAAUUCGUUCUCUUUUUCUCUCAUUUUCAUUUUAUUUUUGUUGUCGUUUAUUCUAUAUUUCAUUCAUUCUGUUUUAUCAUUGUUAUUCGUUCUGUUUCUUUAUCAUUCUGUCAUUUGUUAAUUUUCUAUCGUUUUGUCAUUCACACAUUUUUUUUAAUCUUUUUGUCAUUCGUUCUAUAUCUCCAUUGUUCUGUCAUUACUUAUAUUUUUCUAUCAUUCUGUCAUUCAUUCUAUUUUUUAUUGUUCUGCCAUUUGUUCUAUUUUUCUCAUUCUUUCAUCUGUUCUAUUUUUCUAUCAUUCUCUCAUUACUUGUAUUUUUCUAUUGUUCUGUAUUUUGGUCUUUAUUUCUAUUGUUCUUUCAUUUGUUCUAUUUUUAUCAUUCUGUAAUUCAUUGGAUUUUUCUCUCAUUCAUUCUAUUUUUCCUUUGUUGUCAUCCAUUCUAUAAUUCAAUCAUUCUGUCAUUCCAUUUUUCUAUUGUUCGAUCGUUUGUUUUAGGUUUGUAA